UGCAGUCGAGCGACAGCACAGAGGAACUUGUUCCUUGGGUGGCGAGCGGCGGACGGGUGAGUAAUGCCUGGGAAAUUGCCCGGUAGAGGGGGAUAACCAUUGGAAACGAUGGCUAAUACCGCAUAACCUCGCAAGAGCAAAGCAGGGGACCUUCGGGCCUUGCGCUACCGGAUAUGCCCAGGUGGGAUUAGCUAGUUGGUGAGGUAAGGGCUCACCAAGGCGACGAUCCCUAGCUGGUCUGAGAGGAUGAUCAGCCACACUGGAACUGAGACACGGUCCAGACUCCUUCGGGAGGCAGCAGUGGGGAAUAUUGCACAAUGGGCGCAAGCCUGAUGCAGCCAUGCCGCGUGUAUGAAGAAGGCCUUCGGGUUGUAAAGUACUUUCAGUAGGGAGGAAGGUGGUUAAGUUAAUACCUUAAUCAUUUGACGUUACCUACAGAAGAAGCACCGGCUAACUCCGUGCCAGCAGCCGCGGUAAUACGGAGGGUGCAAGCGUUAAUCGGAAUUACUGGGCGUAAAGCGCAUGCAGGUGGUUUGUUAAGUCAGAUGUGAAAGCCCUGGGCUCAACCUAGGAAUCGCAUUUGAAACUGACAAGCUAGAGUACUGUAGAGGGGGGUAGAAUUUCAGGUGUAGCGGUGAAAUGCGUAGAGAUCUGAAGGAUACCGGUGGCGAGGCGGCCCCCUGGACAGAUACUGACACUCAAUGCGAAGCGUGGGAGCAACAGGAU
rnacentral:rRNA from 1 species